rnacentral:lncRNA from 10 species
GUGGGAGCUGGGGUGGCCAGGAAAAGAUGGGAUGGGUUCAUGGAGCAAAUAGCCAGGCAGAGACCUGGAUGUGAGUGGCCACUGUCUUCCAAGCUGGGCACACAACAGGUCCUUGGGACAGGAAGCACUGAGUCCAGAGGCCUGGCAAGGGACAGGAGGGGCAGGAGAAGCAGGGGUCUACAGGUGGCUCUGGUGGCAGCUCAGGGGGAGGCAGGCAGAAAACAUCUGAUGCACAGAACAGAACAUGCCCAGGGCCCAAGAGUGGGAAAACAGCACCCAGAACUCCACCUUCUGACUCCUAGUCCAGUGCUCCCUUCCAAAGAUGCUAAGCUGCAACAAGUUCCAAGGAAGCUGCCCAGGGCGAAGUCCAGGUCAGGAGGUUCUGACCCUGUGCAGGAGGGCAGGUAGGAGGCGGCUGACUGAGUGCACAGUGUCGUCCAGGAGUGGAAAGAGAUGGUCUUGUCCCCAGACCCCAGAGCAAGGAACACCAUUGUAAGAGGAGGGAGCAGCUUCCACUGUGACGGUGGGUGACCAGGGGGCUGGCACAGGAUGGCCAAAUAAGCCCAGCACUGGGGGGCCAGUGCUUCAGGGGAACAAGCCAGAGAGAGAAGGGAGUUCAAGGGACCUCAUGUCCACCUGGUUCAAGGUCACACGCCUGCCCUGGCCUCUACACAAAGGAGCCUCCUGUAGGUCCCAGCCCUUCCAUGUUUAUGGCUAAAUGUGCUGUGUCUUGGAGCAGCUGGAACCCCAGGUGGACCCUGAGAGAGCUACCUGCCAGCAUGUUCCUUCAGCUCGAGUUUGGAGUCCAGCCCUGGAGGCUGCGCACCUCCUCCCAAAUGCAGGCUUGUGGCUCUGGAAGCUGCCACUGGGGUCAAAAUGGCAUCUUAGGUUCUGGCAGAUUGGGCCAAUCUCAGGGUUGACCCUGGGGUACAGAUACCUGAGAAUCAGCAAAAUCCAGCUCAAUCUUUUCUCCUUUGUUAUUUCUUAAAAUAAUCUUGUACUAAAUCCCAAAGCAAGCGAACCCAUGAAUUGAUUAUUCACUGCUGCCAUUUGCAUCAGUUUAAAAGCAGGACGGCUCUGAGGGCAGGUAUUAAAGAAAUAGAGGCCAGGCUGCAAUUAGCUGGGGACCCAUCGUUGCACUCCAGCCUGCGUGAUACAGCAAGACCCUGUCUCAAAAAAAACCAAAACACAAAACAAGGCCGGGCAUGGUGGCUCAUGCCUGUAAUCCCAGCACUUUGGGAGGCCGAGCAGGGCGGAUCACGAGGUCAGGAGAUCGAGACCAUCCUGGCCAACAUGGUGAAAUCCCGUCUCUACUAAAAAUACAAAAAUUAGCUGGCUGUGGUGGUGCGUGCCUGUAAUCCCAGCUAUUCGGGAGGCUGAGGCAGGAGAAUCACUUGAACCAAGGAGUCGGAGGUUACAGUGAGGCGAGAUCGCGCCACUGUACUCCAGCCUGGCGACAGAGCAAGACUCGUCUCAAAAAAAAAAAAAAAAAAAAAAAAAAAAAAUCAAACAAACACAAAAAACCACCCAACUACAAAUUAGGCAUCCUCCCACUUGGUCUUUUUUCAGAUUCAUUUUGGCUUAAUGGUGCCUUCCCCAUUUUAAAAGCGGUCUUUUACUCAUAGUGCCCCAGCCUUUUG